CACGUAGGGCGCGAGCGUUGUCCGGAAUUAUUGGGCGUAAAGAGCUCGUAGGCGGCCUGUUGCGUCCGCUGUGAAAGCCCGGGGCUUAACCCCGGGUCUGCAGUGGAUACGGGCAGGCUAGAGGUAGGUAGGGGAGAAUGGAAUUCCCGGUGUAGCGGUGAAAUGCGCAGAUAUCAGGAGGAACACCGGUGGCGAAGGCGGGUCUCUGGGCAACAACUGACGCUGAGGAGCGAAAGCGUGGGGAGCGAACAGG
rnacentral:rRNA from 1 species